UACGUAGGGAGCAAGCGUUGUCCGGAAUCAUUGGGCGUAAAGCGCGCGUGAGCGGCCCUGUAAGUCCGUUGUGAAAGUCAAAGGCUCAACCUUUGAAAGCCGGUGGAUACUGUGGGACUAGAGUACGGAAGAGGCGAGUGGAAUUCCUGGUGUAGCGGUGGAAUGCGCAGAUAUCAGGAGGAACACCGGUGGCGAAGGCGGGUCUCUGGGCAGUAACUGACGCUGAGGAGCGAAAGCGUGGGGGAGCGAACAGG
rnacentral:rRNA from 1 species